CCCCCCCCGCCCCGAAGUUCGCCCUGGUGCAGUUCUCCACCGACUCCCGGCUCCACUUCGACUUCGCCGCCUUCGAGCGCCUGACGCCGGCCGGGCGCGAGGCCGAGGUCCGCGGCGUGCGGCAGAGCAAAGGGACCACGCAGACGGCCAGCGCCAUCCGCACCGUGCUGACGGAGGUGUUCGGGCCCGGGCGGGGGAGCCGGGCGGGGGCCAGCAGGAUCCUGAUCGUGGUGACGGACGGCCGGAAGUACGGCGACCCGCUGGAGUACCGCCACGUCCUCCCCGAGGCGGAGCGCGCCGGGGUCAUCCGCUACGCCAUCGGGGUGAG
rnacentral:lncRNA from 1 species